UUUUUUAGGGGAGCAGACUAGGGGUUGGAGGGGGUAGGUAGCGGCGACGACGGAUGGGGCGGAGGAUGGCCACGCGGUGGUGAGGGCGGAGGAAGGCCGCGUGGCGGUGGGGCGACGGAGGAUGGCCGCGCGGCGGCCUGGGAGGAAGAAGGGACCUCGCGGCGGUGGGGCGACGGGGGCGGUAGAGGGUGGUACCCCAUUGGGAUCUACCGCGGCCGGGCGGCGGCGGCUACAGCGGAGGAAGAGGGAACCGGGAGUCGGUGGUUUGUCGGCGACGUAGUGCGGCUAAUCCAGGAUGGGGUCCUGUCGGUGCCCACAGCAGUAGAGGUCUUCGGACGGGGGUUUAGCAACGGUGGACGUGGAGGCUAAGUCGGUUGCAGCCAGUAGAGGGAGAAGCAGGAGGUACCCACAACGAGACGGAGCCGGAUAUUAAUUGCAGGUACGGGGUUGCGGAAGAGCGGCAAGGAGGGAACUCGCGCGGGGCGCCGAUUGGGAUCCCUGACUCAGUCCGAACGGCCGCGCCGGCGCAGUACACUACAACCGUGGGGUGAGGUGGACGAGACGAUGCGGGGCCAGAGGUUGUCGGUAAGACUCCUUGGGUAGAGCGGCGGUGGUAGCAGACGAUAGGAGGUCGUUCACACGACGCCAUGCGGUUACAGGAGGGUAGCCGUUCGAGGCGGGGACGGCCGUAGCAGGUGGGUGUGGUACAGGAGGAGAAACGGUUCGUCGCAAUUCGCCACUAAUAGUCUUCAGGUUCUGGUGUGACAUCCGUCCUUUUUCCUUACAAGAACCAUUCGAUAUCAUAAGGUAAGAAUUAAAUGAGUGAAGUUACGUAUCAAAACAAUCAAGAAGGUAAUCAAAGAUAACUUCAUACGAGUUACCCUAUCCCAAAUCUUUCAAUAUACGUAUUACCCUCUAAUGAACUAAACGAUUAGGAAAAGACCAAUCGCUAAGGAGUGUUUGAGUUCGCUAUUAUACGUGUACAAAGAAGCACAGCAUGAAACUAGAUACGCACGACUAACUCUCUAAGAACCAGAAGUUAAAAAUACAUGUUGAGUUCACUGGUUUAACAUAAGCUAAGAAAAGGGAGUGUUUGACGUCAGAACCACGGAAGGACAACUUUUUUUUCUUUACCCCCGUACCCCGUGUAAUACGUCAGUCUUGGAUCGACAAUGAUAUGUUGGUACUUGUAUUAAGACCCUCCAUCGUGCACCAGUAAGAAUCAUUGUCAUACAACCUUAACAUCCUAUAUCGAGAGUAAAACAAACCACAACCUUAUCAUCCAACGAGCGCCCACUGAAGAGUCCACAGUGCCGCGAACGUAACAUCUAAUCAUCUCCCUUAUAACUCUGCUGCUCCUCUCCGCUGAAUUGACGUCAGGCGUGUUGUGGUACUUGGUCCCAUUUCUCCAAUUAGAGAAGGUUAUGUGUUAACAACUCCACAAGUUUUUAGAAUCACUCUCUCCUGUAACUGCCACGCUCUUACCUUGUAUUGUUCAAAACACACACACACACACACGUAAUGGCUUUGCAACGUGCUGUACAAGAACUUCAGGCGGGAGAGUAACUAACCUUGCCCCACUUUCAACACCUUAAAAACGACACUGGUGGACCUGAUUCUACUGUCCCGACUGUUUCUACUUCGGUUCAACUUCUAAGUCUCAACGAUCCGUCCGUGUCAAUUGUCCCUAUUCUUUGAUAUCUUCUAAAUAGUUUAGUCUGUACCCGAACCAAUACGUUACUAAGUAACCCUAGACUCUUCCAAUAUCCCCACCGGGUCUAUAGUACCUCUCCGCGGCACGAGCCAGGUCAUCCUCGAGGCCCAGUUGUGACACCGACGCACCACCCGUACUUGGUACCGUUGACGGAAGGCCGAAAUAAGACAACCGAGCAUGUAAACGGCGACCGAUAAGAAUGUCUUAGUACUUAAUCUGAAAUCCUCUUAACCGUACAGUAGUGUACUUAAAAAAAUUUGAUACUCCACGAUGUCCAUUUGUACCACUUAAGUGUGAAACUUUGACGGACCACUAAAAAAUUUAGAGGUCCGUUAGUCUUGUAUACGUAAAAGAGACAAAGAGCGAAGUACAAAACAGUACCUGAUGUACUCAAAGUACAUAUGGUCUUAAAAAAGUUUGGACACUAAUUGUUCAAGAAAAGGUGAAGAUUUAAUGUUUAUAGAAUAACUACGAUGGUAUAACAUCUCACAUGAACUACC
rnacentral:rRNA from 1 species